UACGUAGGGGGCAAGCGUUGUCCGGAUUUAUUGGGCGUAAAGAGCGUGUAGGCGGCCUGACAGGUCUGCUGUGAAAACUCGAGGCUCAACCUCGAGAUGUCGGCGGAAACCGUCUGGCUAGAGUCCGGAAGAGGAGAGUGGAAUUCCUGGUGUAGCGGCGAAAUGCGCAGAUAUCAGGAAGAACACCUAUGGCGAAGGCAGCUCUCUGGGACGGUACUGACGCUGAGACGCGAAAGCGUGGGGAGCGAACAGG
rnacentral:rRNA from 1 species